rnacentral:rRNA from 1 species
ACGGGAGGCAGCAGUAGGGAAUAUUGCACAAUGGGGGAAACCCCGAUGCAGCAACGCCACGUGUGGGAAGAAGCAUUUCGGUGUGUAAACCACUGUCGUGAGGGAAUAAUGCUUGGCCUCGGCCAAGUUGAAUGUACCUCGAAAGGAAGCACCGGCAAACUUCGUGCCAGCAGCCGCGGUAAUACGAGGGGUGCAAGCGUUGUUCGGAAUCACUGGGCGUAAAGGGAGCGCAGGCGGAGAUGCAAGCAGUCUGUACAAUACCGGGGCCCAACCCCGGACCUGCAGACUGGACUGUUUCUCUUGGAUAGUUCAGGGGCAAGCGGAAUUCCUGGUGUAGCGGUGGAAUGCGUAGAGAUCAGGAAGAACACCGAUGGCGAAGGCAGCCAGCUGGGGGCUUAUCGACGCUCAUGCUCGAAAGUGCGGGUAGCAAACAGGAUUAGAUACCCUGGUA